rnacentral:rRNA from 1 species
UACGUAGGUGGCAAGCGUUGUCCGGAUUUACUGGGCGUAAAGGGCGCGUAGGCGGGCUCUCAAGUCCGGGGUGAAAUCCCACAGCUCAACUGUGGAACUGCCUCGGAUACUGGGGGCCUCGAGGGUGGUAGGGGUAUGCGGAACUAUCGGUGGAGCGGUGAAAUGCGUUGAUAUCGAUAGGAACUCCGGUGGCGAAGGCGGCAUACUGGACCACAUCUGACGCUGAGGCGCGAAAGCCAGGGGAGCAAACGGG